rnacentral:misc_RNA from 1 species
UUUCCGUAGGUGAACCUGCGGAAGGAUCAUCACUGGUCAUUAUAGUAUAAUUUUUGUGAACAGUAUGAGGGGAGCAUAGUUGGCGAGGGCAGCCGCGGUAGCGGGUGCAUGGCCGCGAUAGCGGCUGCGUGACCGCGAUAGCGGCUGCGUGACCGCGAUAGCGGCUGCGUGCGUGGGUGUGUCACGAGGCGUGAAUGUGUCGCGAGGCGUGCCUCGUGAGACAGCGCCCCGUGAGAGCGCCCCGUGAGACAGAGUGCCCCCGCGCUCGCCAACGGCUCCGCAUUUCAUAAAAUCCUUGGCUUACACAACACACACUAAACAAACACAAAAAAUCACAACUUUCAACAAUGGAUCUCUUGGCUCUC